rnacentral:rRNA from 1 species
GUGGAUUAGAUACCCUAGUAGUCCACGCUGUAAACGAUGUUCACUCGCUGUUUGCGAUACACAGUAAGCGGCUGAGCGAAAGCAUUAAGUGAACCACCUGGGGAGUACGAUCGCAAGGUUGAAACUCAAAGGAAUUGACGGGGGCCCGCACAAGCGGAGGAACAUGUGGUUUAAUUCGAUGAUACGCGAGGAACCUUACCUGGGCUUAAAUGUAGAUUGCAUAGGGUAGAAAUAUCCUUUCCCUUCGGGGCUAUUUACAAGGUGCUGCACGGCCGUCGACAGCU